CCUACGGGAGGCAGCAGUAGGGAAUUUUGCGCAAUGGGCGAAAGCCUGACGCAGCAACGCCGCGUGAUCGAGACAGCCUUCGGGGUUUAAAGAUCUGUCAGUGAGGGCGAAACUUGACGAUACCCACUGAGUAAGCACCGGCUAACUCCGUGCCAGCAGCCGCGGUCAUACGGGGGGUGCAAGCGUUGUCCGGAAUCAUUGUGCGUAAAGAGUUCGUAGGCGGAAAGUAAAGUCUGGUGGUAAAGGCAGAGGCUCAACUUCUAUACGACAAUGGAUACUUGCGAGCUAGAAUGCGGUAGAGGUAAAGGGAAUUCCUGGUGUAGCGGUGAAAUGCUUAGAUAUCAGGAGGAACAUCGGUGGCGUAAGCGGUUUACUGGGCCGUAAUUGACGCUGAGGAACGAAAGCCAGGGUAGCAAAUGGGAUUAGAUACCCGUGUAGUC
rnacentral:rRNA from 1 species